rnacentral:lncRNA from 1 species
CCAAUUAAUAAAUUAAUUCCUUCUAUUUCCAGGAUCCGCAACCUUUACAUCCUGGUGUUACACUUUCAAAGCAUAUUGAUUCAAAUUAUACAUUUCAAGUUAUAAAUAAUCUUUUUCACUUGGAUAUAUUGAUUGUAAUUAUCCAUGAACUCACAACUAGACUUAACUAUACUUUUAUACAAUGUUCUUUGACUGUGCAAUUACAAUAUGUCAUUUAAACGCUACCUAGCAUAGCUAGAGCUAUUCGAACAACUUCAAUAAGUACUUCUUCCUCUUUCCUUUGUCUAUCCCGAAUCCUUCGAUCCGCUUUGGUUUAGCUGAAAACAAUUAUUUAUAGCAAGGGUGAGCAACUACGUUGCCCAACAAGUUUAACAGUUAUCGCAUAACACAUAGUUCGCAUUUUAAACACAACUUAAAUUAUUCAUACUUUGCAGUUUAUACAUAAAUUCAUGUUUUUCAUACAUUGCAUUUAUUCAGGCAUCAUAAUGCUCAUACUCAGCAAUUAUACCUACUUCACGCUUAUCAUGUUCCUCAUAUCAUGAAUAUAAUAAGUUUCCAUAACUCAGUCCACAUCAAUCAUUAAUUUGAUUCAAUAGAUUUAUAUCACAGUAUAGCGCAUCUCAAUUUAUUCACAAGGAGUACAUAUAAUACAUGGAGUAUGUACACAUUACAAUUAACAAGUUCACAUAUAAAAACAAGUUCUGAAAAACUUGCCUGUACCGGAGUUUUACCAUUACACCAACUUUUGCGUUCCUUGCACAACCUACAUUAUAUGUGGGAUUGAUAACAAAACACAUUAUCAGUCAAAGUUUGACUAUUAGUGUGAUCUUACUUUAAAACCUUAUCUUAACUUAUUAUCUUCCGUGUAUCCUUUUUAUAUCUAAUAAUAUAGACAUUCAACUUCAUUAUUUAUAUAGCUCGGUUUUAUUUCCCUUUUUAUCACCACAUGUGCUAGCUUAUCGCACUUGUAGUUUACGUACUGUGUGUGUAUCACACCAUUACAACAUACCAUAUUUGGUUAAACAUUUCUCAUCUAGAUUCCUUAGACUUGGAUUAUGCGGAGAGCAUUUGUUCAUCACUUUGUAACCAUUCACUUAAUAGUACCUUACAUUAAUCUUGUAAUGUGUCUAUCCCAGUUAACAAAAUAAUAAAAAUUUCCUUCCAAGUUCACUUUUACACUUUUUGGGUUGUCCAAAAAGUGUUACGCAACGAUUACAUAUUUGGACUCUACACGAAAAACUGAGCAACAUAUAAAAAAUUACAUGACGCCCAAAAAUUGACUCGGCGAACCAAAAUGGCUUGGCGUGCCAAAAACAGCACAACCAUUGCCCAGACAGCCCACACACUGCCCAGACUGCAGAACAAAAUCUGGAAAUUUCAGAUUUUGUGAUUUUCGGGCUAGUUUUACGAAUUUUUAUCUCACUCGUUAUACAUCGGAUUAAAGCCAUUUUCGGAUAUGUUCUACCUCAUACUACAUAGUAUUUUUAAAAAAUAUAACAUUCAUGAAAAGAGUUUGGAAAGGCUUCGAAACAGUGGCCUGAAACAGCCCACACACAGCAGUUUCAGACUAAGAAAAUUUCAUGGUUUCUGCAGUUUCGGUGAUUUUCUAUGCUACUUGGGGAAUUUUUAUGAAUUUUUGUAUUAGGCUUUUAGCUUGGAGAUCUGGACAUGCUUAUAGAACAUAUAUCAAACUAUUUUUCUACUGGUUUAGGUCAUUAAGAAAGCAACUUAAGCUUCCUCAAACUGAUGCCCAAACAAGGCUACUCACCACAGGUUUUUAGUAUUCUUAACUUUGGUCAAUUCUUGCCAAACUCAUUUCUGGCCACUUGGGCUCAUUCCAACACUUGAGUUACUACUAGUUAAGACUAUUUUUAGCAUUCCCCUGACCUAGCUAUGCAUAGAUAUGGUUUUGACCCUCUAAACCUAGCAUUUUCAAGCUUUUACAUACUAAUUUCUCAUUCUCUUAUAUAAAUUAGCAUUCCAACACUUGGAAUGGUCUAAUAUACUUUUAACUCACUUUCUUAAGAUGUUAAAACUGAUCUUUAAGCAAAAUGGCAAAAUCUCAAAUUUCCAUACUUAGAAAAAUCUGCAGAAAACUGCAGUUUGCAUGAUUUUCUUAGCUUGUUUGGUGAUUUUUAUGAAUUUCUUGAUUUUUAUGAAUUUCUUGGUUAAGCUAUUGGCUCAACCACUUGGCCCUGCUUCUAGAUCAUACUUCAAGGUAUUUUAAUCAAGUUUUAGGUUUCUUAUUCAUUUCAUUUAAGCUUCUCAAAACAGUGCCUCAAACUGGCCUGUUUUCUAACUUUUUGCAAAAACUGUUAUUAACACUUUUAUCAUUUUUCUCCAGUUUUGGCUACUUGGAUAGUCUAGACAUGUGUAUUUUAGUUAGUUAAGGACACUUUUAGCAUCACCACACUUUAUUUAAUCAUCUAGCCAACUUUGACCUAUCUAAGCUUACUUUAGGCUUGAAAAAACUUGGUCUUCUUACUAGCUUUGGUCAUGGCAAUGAUUGGUAACCAUUAUAAGCAUCCAUUAGCAUCUUUAUAUGAGUGUAUUACAGUCCUUUAAGUUCAGGUAUUAAAAAUUACACAAAACAGUCCACUUUUGGGCUUAAAAUGUGAUUUUUCACAAGUCUAAUGCUCAAAACAGCUUAGGCUUGGUUUCUUUAGCUUGUGUAGCUUACUUAUGCCAUAUUAUAACUAUUGAAACUUGCCUAUAUGGUCCAGGUAUGGUGGUUCUUCACUUAGGUGCUAAUUUCUAUUUUAAAGCUUACUUUCAUUGGUUUUUAGAUAUGAAUUUGAACCACACAUAACAUAGACCUUAAUUAAAUUAAGGAACACCUUUUAAAUACCCCUUAUGGACAUUUCAUGGUCUCUUUACUGACUCAUAAGUUCAGGUACUGAACUUGACCAAAACAGUCCCCAAAUUUGGAUUUUUAGCACAGUUUUGCCUAUUAAAUAUUAAACAGUUCCAUAACAAGACUAAGGGAACUUCUAGGCAUUCAAAUAAACUUCACACAUCAUUAAAACUUAUCACCAUGAACCUUAAUAAGCUUGCACAGUCAGUCUAAUAUCUGACACCAAAACAGUGCACACACACAAGGCACUUUAGGCAUGGUUUUAACACCUCAAGUUCAGGUUCUGGCCUUUUAAUUCAUUGAGACACAUGUAUUUUGAUCACAUGAGACUUAUUAUUUCAUAACCUUGCCUUGUAUAAUAGCUUAGCAUAUUUUUGGCUUUUAAAACUUACUUUACAUAGCAUAUACACAUGAAGCUCUACAAGUUUGCUAGCUUAUGACUUUGCUGCACUUUUGCUACCAUUUCUGGCAUAUUUUUAUGCCACAAUAUAAGCUUCUAUCUAUCUAAUAUGGCCAGGUUUAAUAGAUUGCCAUAGCAGUCCCAAACUUAGAAUGUUAAGCAUGGAUUUGGCAUGGUAACUCAAAACAGCCUCAAGUUUAGUUAAGAUGAAUGUUGAAGCACCUUUAGAACAUGUAAUUGUGAAGAGAGAUGCAUUCACGGCUGGAGUUUAAUCAAUUCUUAGCUAACACAAAACAGCCCUCUUUUUACUUAAGUUUUAAGCUUGAAGCCUCUUAGCUAUUCAAGUUAAGCAUGUCCAUUCUCCUUUUAGCAUAUAAGCAUAUACAUGGGAUUAUUAUCUUAGUAUAUGACAUGGUUUUGGACUUUGUUUGCAUAGCUAACAUGCCUUUAGCACAUAGCAGUCAACAUUUAGGCAUUUUAUCAAACAUGUAGAGUGCAGUCCAUAUAUAUACAUAUAGUACAUAUAUUUCUAGCUCUUUGACCCCAGCCUUAUGGCUUUAAUUUACCUAGCAUGACAAAAACAAAUCAUAGCCACAAUUAGGCCUUAUGGAAGUUAACAUAUCAACAAGAAAUUUAGAAUAUCUAUCAUUAUAAUAGUAAACAGCCUUGUAUGUCAAUUCCAGUUUCUCUUCAAAAUUGAAGUGGGAAUGAAAUGAAUAAGGAUCUAAAUUAACUCACCCUUGAUAGCUUGAUGAUUGGGUUGGCUUUGUUGCUGAUAAUCUCCUCCCUCUCCAACUGGAAUCACUUUCUCUUCUUCACUAAAUAUGCUUUUGGAGCUCAAAUAAGUGGUGUAACCAUCUGAACUUGGGUGAAACAUUGGGGUUAUAUGGCUGAGUUCUCUAUCUUCAGUCAGUCACCUUCCUGACCACUUAUAAGCUUGGCCCCUAUUCUUCUCCAUCAUUACCCUACCCGGUAUUAGCUUCAAUUCAGCCCCUCUAACUUGCCUCCUAUCAGUCUACUCAUAGCAGUUAGUUGGCCCCUAUAACUACCUGACACCCUUGGUCUUUGCAGUGUACUUGACCCCUAAUAGCCAAC